GGCGGCAUGCCUAAGACAUGCAAGUCGAACGAGACGACCUAGGAAACUGAGUGCUUGCACGAAGUUGGAUCAAGAUCAUCGUCUAGUGGCAGACGGGUGAGUAACACGUGGGUAACCUACCUUUAAGCUGGGGAUAACAGUUGGAAACGAUUGCUAAUACCGAAUAAGAUACACGUAUUGAAAGAAGCCUUUAAAGCUUCACUUAAAGAUGGGCCUGCGGCGUAUUAACUAGUUGGUGAGGUAAUGGCUCACCAAGGUAACGAUGCGUAGCCGAACUGAGAGGUUGAACGGCCACACUGGGACUGAGACACGGCCCAGACUCCUACGGGAGACAGCAGUUAGGAAUAUUCGUCAAUGGGGGAAACCCUGAACGAGCAAUGCCGCGUGAGUGAUGAAGGCCCUCUGGGUUGUAAAACUCUGUCGUAUGGGAAGAACGGACUUACUAGGAAAUGAGUGAGUAGUGACGGUACCAUGCGAGAAAGCUCCGGCUAACUACGUGCCAGCAGCGGC
rnacentral:rRNA from 1 species